rnacentral:lncRNA from 1 species
AAUCAAUGGCGAAAAAACAAAAACGUGAGAGAUUUCAAAACCCGCAGCCAUUCCUGCCUUCGAACGACGAUGACAAAUCUGUGGCUUCCUCAAAGAAACGAUCCAAGGCUGCCAAGCACCACCAGAAACAAGAUAAAGUAAUUUUCUUUCUAUUUUUUUGCUUUUUAUUGGGUUCGUACUUGUUUGUUUGUUUGAUUACUUGUGUGAAGUUUUACAGAUGAUAUCGUCGGGGAUUAGUUCGAAGAUUCUGAAGGAAGCGAUGAUUCAGCAGAAGGAGGUUCUAGAAGAGUCCGAAGAGCCUAACGCUACCAAAAGCGCCUUCGUUUUUGCUGAAGAAGAGCAGAGCAAGCGACGAGUAGAAGAAGAUGAAGAUGAUAUUGAUGAUUUCGGUGGUUUUAAUGAGACUC